rnacentral:tRNA from 1 species
GGGAAUGUGGCUUAGUGGUAGAGUGCUUGCCUAGCAUGCAUGAAGCCCCAAGUUCCAUUCCUC